UGCAGAAGAAGCACCGGCUAACUACGUGCCAGCAGCCGCGGUAAUACGUAGGGUGCGAGCGUUAUCCGGAAUUAUUGGGCGUAAAGAGCUCGUAGGCGGUUUGUCGCGUCUGUCGUGAAAGUCCGGGGCUUAACCCCGGAUCUGCGGUGGGUACGGGCAGACUAGAGUGCAGUAGGGGAGACUGGAAUUCCUGGUGUAGCGGUGGAAUGCGCAGAUAUCAGGAGGAACACCGAUGGCGAAGGCAGGUCUCUGGGCUGUAACUGACGCUGAGGAGCGAAAGCAUGGGGAGCGAACAGGAUUAGAUACCCUGGUAGUCCAUGCCGUAAACGUUGGGCACUAGGUGUGGGGACCAUUCCACGGUUUCCGCGCCGCAGCUAACGCAUUAAGUGCCCCGCCUGGGGAGUACGGCCGCAAGGCUAAAACUCAAAGGAAUUGACGGGGGCCCGCACAAGCGGCGGAGCAUGCGGAUUAAUUCGAUGCAACGCGAAGAACCUUACCAAGGCUUGACAUGUUCUCGAUCGCCGUAGAGAUACGGUUUCCCCUUUGGGGCGGGUUCACAGGUGGUGCAUGGUUGUCGUCAGCUCGUGUCGUGAGAUGUUGGGUUAAGUCCCGCAACGAGCGCAACCCUCGUUCCAUGUUGCCAGCACGUCGUGGUGGGGACUCAUGGGAGACUGCCGGGGUCAACUCGGAGGAAGGUGAGGACGACGUCAAAUCAUCAUGCCCCUUAUGUCUUGGGCUUCACGCAUGCUACAAUGGCCGGUACAAUGGGUUGCGAUACUGUGAGGUGGAGCUAAUCCCAAAAAGCCGGUCUCAGUUCGGAUUGGGGUCUGCAACUCGACCCCAUGAAGUCGGAGUCGCUAGUAAUCGCAGAUCAGCAACGCUGCGGUGAAUACGUUCCCGGGCCUUGUACACACCGCCCGUCAAGUCACGAAAGUCGGUAACACCCGAAGCCGGUGGCCUAACCCUUGUGGGGGGA
rnacentral:rRNA from 1 species